UGAAGACCUUGGCUAUCUUUGUGUUAAAGACAUAAACGACGACGAAUAUAGUAAGUCAUUUAAAAAAAAAGUUCAAACAAACAAUGUUUUUAGAACAUUUCAGGGUAGCCUCCCACUUUUGAGCUGGCGUAAUAGGCCAAUUCAGGGUCUCAAAAUACAGGGAUGUUGAGAAUUUUUAUAUUGUUGCAUUAAUCAUAUUUGGGUUUACACAAAACGUUACUGAAGCUCGAUAGCUGUCUUUUUGACAUUCUCUGGAGCGUCCAAAUGCACAAAUGGAUCGAAAAUCGCACAUUUGUCCUCUAGUGCACGCGCUCCAAUCGAAAUAUCGUGCAUGUUAAAAUAUUUUUGCGCUAUGCUUUAAUAAAUGUACUCUGAUAAACGCAUGCGUAACUUGCCAUUUUCAUUCACAGAGGCUGUUCAAACCAUCAUAUCGUACAACGCCACGCCCUACCCAUUCGUGACCAACGGUACCAAUAUCACCUUAACGUGCGCUGGGCGUUCCGUCGAUUUUGUAACUACUCCAGAUGACCAAUCAUAUAUGAAAACGUCGAAUUCUAUAAGAACAAUAAACUUCUUCGCAAUUGUAAAGAAGACCAUACCUUCGUUUUAGAAGUCUCUCCUGCAACGUGACGGUGACAGGAGUGGUCAACAAUGAUAAAUUCAUG